rnacentral:rRNA from 1 species
ACUCCUACGGGAGGCAGCAGUAAGGAAUAUUGCGCAAUGGACGAAAGUCUGACGCAGCGACGCCGCGUGGGGGAUGAAGGUCUUCGGAUUGUAAACCCCUUUCGGCAGGGAAGAUGGAACGGGCAACCGUUCGGACGGUACCUGCAGAAGCAGCCACGGCUAACUUCGUGCCAGCAGCCGCGGUAAUACGAAGGUGGCAAGCGUUGUUCGGAUUUACUGGGCGUACAGGGAGCGUAGGCGGUUCGGUAAGCCCUCUGUGAAAUCUCCGGGCCUAACCCGGAAAGUGCAGAGGGGACUGCUUGGCUAGAGGAUGGGAGAGGAGCGCGGAAUUCCC